CUUUUCUUCUUUCCUUCUUCUUUUUCUUCCUUUCUUUCUUCCCCGAUCAGCAGCACCCCUUGUGUCACCGGUGACGUCUCUCCGCCUGGUGCGACGGCCGACGGUGGCGCGCACGGAGGUUGCAGGUAGCUAGGGAGGGUAGGCCGGCUGCCGCCUGUUGUAGGUGCAACUUGCGUGGUGGCUGCCAGAAGGACUGAAUCGUAAACACAGCAAAAGUUUUGGGGCAAAAGUGUCAUUCUGAUAAAGUUCAAGGGUUAAAAUGUAAUUUCAAGAAAGUUUAAGGGUCAAAAUGUAAUUUAGAAAAGUUUAGGGGUUGAAAUAUAAUUUCGAGAAAGUUUAGGGGUCAAAAUGUAAUUUUAGAAAAGUUUAGGGGUCAAAAUGCAAAUUUUUAUUAUUUUUUUAUUUUUUUAAAACACGAAAUUAUUCCCGAACAAAAUUCAGUGAUUACAUCGUGUGUUAGGUCGUGUAACACACUAUUUACUGAAUACUAGCUACACGGGCAAGAAACACGGGUGUGUGCUCAGGCUGUGUGUGGGCAUGUUAGUGCAGGGUUCACACUGGCCAAGGACACGGGCGUAUGUCCAGGCCGUAUGACUCGCUGUUUGUGAUUUAGGACCACACGGGUAGACAACAUGGACGUGUUUCAGGACGUGUGGGUCUAGUUUGGAAUUCAUCUCUGGGGCCGUAAGCGUUGUUAACGCAAAUGUAAGUCGUCCGUAGUGUAUAUAUAUAAUCUAAAUUAGACCGUAUGAGUGUUAUUGGAUAAUUUGAGACUGAGAUUCUGAUUAUAGAAAUGUUAUUGAAUCUGAAUGACUGUACGUACAUUUUGACAUCUGUAUCUGUAUUUGUAUUAGGUAGGAACCGAGUAAAAAAGGAAGUGAUCUAUUCUGAGUCGAUGGCUAGGCCACGGCUUAUAUAUGAAUCAAGCGUUUAUUCGCCUAUUGGUUAGCUAA